rnacentral:rRNA from 1 species
AUUGAACGCUGGCGGCAUGCCUUACACAUGCAAGUCGAACGGUAACAGGCCGCAAGGUGCUGACGAGUGGCGAACGGGUGAGUAAUACAUCGGAACGUGCCCGAUCGUGGGGGAUAACGGAGCGAAAGCUUUGCUAAUACCGCAUACGCCCUACGGGGGAAAGCAGGGGAUCUUCGGACCUUGCACUAAUGGAUGAGCCUAGGUCGGAUUAGCUAGUUGGUAGGGUAAAGGCCUACCAAGGCUACGAUCUGUAGCGGGUCUGAGAGGAUGAUCCGCCACACUGGAACUGAGACACGGUCCAGACUCCUACGGGAGGCAGCAGUGGGGGAAUAUUGGACAAUGGGCGAAAGCCUGAUCCAGCCAUGCCGCGUGUGUGAAGAAGGCCUUUUGGCUGUAAAGCACUUUAAGCGAGGAGGAGGGUACUCUGGCUAAUACCUAGAUGUAUCGGACGUUACUCGCAGAAUAAGCACCGGCUAACUCUGUGCCAGC